rnacentral:tRNA from 1 species
CCUCGGUAGCUCAGCGGUAGAGCGGUCGACUGUUAAUCGAUUGGUCGCAGGUUCGAAUCCCGCCCGGGGAG